UACGUAGGGGGCAAGCGUUGUCCGGAUUUAUUGGGCGUAAAGAGCGUGUAGGCGGCUAUACAGGUCCGUUGUGAAAACUCGAGGCUCAACCUCGAGACGCCGAUGGAAACCGCAUGGCUAGAGUCCGGAAGAGGAGAGCGGAAUUCCUGGUGUAGCGGUGAAAUGCGCAGAUAUCAGGAAGAACACCCGUGGCGAAGGCGGCUCUCUGGGACGGUACUGACGCUGAGACGCGAAAGCGUGGGGAGCGAACAGG
rnacentral:rRNA from 1 species